rnacentral:rRNA from 1 species
AAUAGAUACCCGGGUAGUCCACGCCCUAAACGAUGCGAACUGGAUGUUGGGUUCAACUUGGAACCCAGUAUCGAAGCUAACGCGUUAAGUUCGCCGCCUGGGGAGUACGGUCGCAAGACUGAAACUCAAAGGAAUUGACGGGGGCCCGCACAAGCGGUGGAGUAUGUGGUUUAAUUCGAUGCAACGCGAAGAACCUUACCUGGUCUUGACAUCCACGGAACUUUCCAGAGAUGGAUUGGUGCCUUCGGGAACCGUGAGACAGGUGCUGCAUGGCUGCCGUCAGCUCGUGUCGUGAGAUGUUGGGUUAAGUCCCGCAACGAGCGCAACCCUUGUCCUUAGUUGCCAGCACGUAAUGGUGGGAACUCUAAGGAGACCGCCGGUGACAAACCGGAGGAAGGUGGGGAUGACGUCAAGUCAUCAUGGCCCUUACGACCAGGGCUACACACGUACUACAAUGGUGGGGACAGAGGGCCGCAAUCCCGCGAGGGUGAGCCAAUCCCAGAAACCCCAUCUCAGUCCGGAUCGGAGUCUGCAACUCGACU